GCAUAUCAAUAAGCGGAGGAAAAGAAACCAACAGGGAUUGCCCUAGUAACGGCGAGUGAAGCGGCAAUAGCUCAAAUUUGAAAUCUGGCUCUGCUCUAGGGUCCGAGUUGUAAUUUGUAGAGGGUGCUUUGGCACUGAUGGCGGUCUAAGUUCCUUGGAACAGGACAUCACAGAGGGUGAGAAUCCCGUAUGUGGUCGCUAAUCUUUGCCGUGUAAAGCCCCUUCAACGAGUCGAGUUGUUUGGGAAUGCAGCUCUAAAUGGGAGGUAAAUUUCUUCUAAAGCUAAAUAUUGGCCAGAGACCGAUAGCGCACAAGUAGAGUGAUCGAAAGAUGAAAAGCACUUUGGAAAGAGAGUCAAAAAGCACGUGAAAUUGUUGAAAGGGAAGCGCUUGCCGCCAGACUUGCCUGCAGUUGCUCACCUAGGCGUUCAGCCUGGGGCACUCUUCUGCAGGCAGGCCAGCAUCAGUUUGGGCAGCCGGAUAAAGGUCUCUGACACGUUCCUUCUACCUUUGUGUAGAUGGUCAUAUAGGGGAGACGUCAUGCGGUUAGCCCGGACUGAGGUCCGCGCAUUGCUAGGAUGCUGGCGUAAUGGCUGCAAGCGGCCCGUCUUGAAACACGGACCAAGGAGUCUAACAUCUAUGCGAGUGUUUGGGUGUCAAGCCCGAGCGCGCAAUAAACGUGAACGGAGGUGGGAACCCUCUUUUGGGGGUGCACCAUCGACCGAUCCUGAUGUCUUCGGAUGGAUUUGAGUAAGAGCAUAGCUGUUGGGACCCGAAAGAUGGUGAACUAUGCUUGAAUAGGGUGAAGCCAGAGGAAACUCUGGUGGAGGCUCGCAGCGGUUCUGACGUGCAAAUCGAUCGUCAAAUUUGGGCAUAGGGGCGAAAGACUAAUCGAACUAUCUAGUA
rnacentral:rRNA from 1 species